AGCAAAAUGAUGAAGUCAAAAAAUGUCUGAAACUGAUGAAGAUAUAUUGAUUCAUAAGGUCUUCAAAGUUCUCUGAUUGCU
rfam:Cajanus cajan Scaffold132221_8, whole genome shotgun sequence.